AUGCGAUGCCCUAAUUUCAUUGCUCUGCUCUUAUAAAUUCACACCCUUUUCCCAACCCUGCAUCAAUCUGUCACCAGAACUUGUUAUCAGGUUCACGGCCGCUCCUAAUUAGGAUUCUGUCAUCUGCAGUGCACUAGUACUAAGGCUCUGUGAUGACAUAAUAUCAUGAAUUGCCUAAUGAAUGUGCAAAAAAGAGUUUUGGGCACCGCUUUGCAGAUCUGACUUCACAUGUUUGGGCUGCCAGUAUCACCCAUACAUAAGUACCAUGUUUGGAUUUUGAUUAUAAUUUUUUUGUUGGUUAAUUGAAGUUAGAUUAGUGUUCUGUGGUGCCUUUUUUUGUUUUAUUUAUUUUUUAUUUCUGAAUUUGGUUUAUCCAGUGCCCAGUGGCUAAUGAUUACUACGAAAGGAUAGUGUUUUGUUUUAAAUUUAAUUUAAUACAAUUUGGGCCUCUACAAUAAGGGUGGUGUAACCAAGGCUAUGUUUGUGUAUCUCCUAUUCUCAAGGGUUUUUCAAUUUGAAUGGGCAUGAAAAUCCACAAGAUGGAUACAUAGCAUUUUAUUUUUUUUUUGUCAAUUUUGCACUCCUACGAGGCCCCAUUGUCAUUUAUCAAUGGAAGCGUAAUCUUAACGUGCAUAAAUAAAUAUUGGGAAUUUUGAGAUUAUGUUUGGCAGUUUGAAUGAUCUCGUGUUCUGCUGUCACAAGUUCCCUUACAUGUCUGCUAUGUAAUCUGUCUAUAGUAUAUAGACUUGAGAAAGUGUAUUUGUUUUAAUA